GACGAACGCUGGCGACGUGCUUAACACAUGCAAGUCGAACGGAAAGGCCCUGCUUUUGUGGGGUGCUCGAGUGGCGAACGGGUGAGUAACACGUGAGUAACCUGCCCUUGACUUUGGGAUAACUUCAGGAAACUGGGGCUAAUACCGGAUAGGAGCUCCUGCUGCAUGGUGGGGGUUGGAAAGUUUCGGCGGUUGGGGAUGGACUCGCGGCUUAUCAGCUUGUUGGUGGAGUAGUGGCUUACCAAGGCUUUGACGGGUAGCCGGCCUGAGAGGGUGACCGGCCACAUUGGGACUGAGAUACGGCCCAGACUCCUACGGGAGGCAGCAGUGGGGAAUAUUGCACAAUGGGCGGAAGCCUGAUGCAGCAACGCCGCGUGCGGGAUGACGGCCUUCGGGUUGUAAACCGCUUUCGCCUGUGACGAAGCGUGAGUGACGGUAAUGGGUAAAGAAGCACCGGCUAACUACGUG
rnacentral:rRNA from 1 species